CGUAACACAUACAUCAUUAAUAUCAUAUGUAAUCUCUAGGCUGUGGCUCUAUACAUUGUGUACGAUCCAUUCCAGUACACCACGAUUUUAAAUAGUCUAUCUUAAAUCGUGAUAUGAUCCAAGGUUACCAGCAUGGUGGUUCCAUCCACCUUGGUUACCAUUUAGCGUUAUCGCUAUAAUUUUAUGGGAUCGCCGUCAUCG